CCUACGGGAGGCAGCAGUGAGGAAUAUUGGUCAAUGGUCGGGAGACUGAACCAGCCAAGCCGCGUGAGGGAGGAAGGUACAGAGUAUCGUAAACCUCUUUUGUCAGGGAACAAAGACUGGGAUGCGUCCCUGGAUGCGUGUACCUGAAGAAAAAGCCUCGGCUAACUCGGUGCCAGCAGCCGCGGUAAUACGGAGGAUGCGAGCGUUAUCUGGAUUUAUGUGGCUUAAAGGGUGCGCAGGCGGUUGGUUAAGUCAGCGGUAAAAGCCCGGGGCUCAACCCCGGCCCGCCGUUGAAACUGGCAGUCUCGAGUUGGAGAGAGGGAUGCGGAAUGCGCGGUGUAGCGGUGAAAUGCAUAGAUAUCGCGCAGAACUCCGAUUGCGAAGGCAGCAUGCCGGCUCCACACUGACGCUGAGGCACGAAAGCGUGGGUAUCGAACAGGAUUAGAUACCCGAGUAGUC
rnacentral:rRNA from 1 species